rnacentral:misc_RNA from 1 species
UCUAGAAGUGGUCGAGCAUUCAUGUGCUGCUUGCAGUAUGUGAACAGCGAGAUCCAAAUGACUCAUUUUUAAGCGCCCACACUUAUCGGCUGUAAUUCAACAGUAAGAGUGAAUAACGUGAGCCUGCCGAGCUGGCCUUGUCAGUGCGACACGGUGAGCGAAUUGAGCCGGACACGCGAUAAACACGUGGGUCUGUAGCUCAGUUGGUUAGAGCACCGUCUUGAUAAGGCGGGGGUCGCUGGUUCGAAUCCAGCCAGACCCACCACGGAUUUAGAUAAAUCCCGGGGGAUUAGCUCAGCUGGGAGAGCACCUGCUUUGCAAGCAGGGGGUCGUCGGUUCGAUCCCGUCAUCCUCCACCAAAAACCUUCACUCUUAUCCAAUGGUUGACAAACCAAAGUAUCCGCAAGCUAUGAAGCUAGGCGGUUAUUCUGGUUUGUCAGUCAUAAGACUCGAAAGAGUCGGCUGUUGUUCUUUAACAAUUUGUAGAGUCGAAUCAGCGUUGUCGACGGAAAGUUCAGUUUCUUCGUAAAGGGGAUUGAUCACCGUGCCGUCGGCAACAUUUUGAUUGCGUCAAACACAGAACUUCAACUGAGCAAUUUAAUUGUUUAGGUAUGAAGAACGGCGUAACGCGUGAAUACUCAAUAGUCACACAAGCUUAACGAGCUGUGUGGCGCAGUUCUUGACCCGACAGUGCCGUCAGCGCUGUCAAAGUUAUAGGGUCAAGUGACUAAGUGCAUAUGGUGGAUGCCUAGGCAAUGAUAGGCGACGAAGGACGUGAUAGCCUGCGAUAAGCUUCGGGGAGCUGGCAAAUUAGCUUUGAUCCGGAGAUUU